GGCUAUGUUCAGACUGCAGGCAAAUGUGACCCAAAUCCGAUUUUUUUUGCCCAUAUGUGACCUGUAUCCGAUCUGUUAAAGACAGUUUGAACAACACAAAUCCGAUUUUUUCAAAUUCCACCCAAGCCAUUUUCAUAUGUGCAAAGGAGGUCCGAUUUUUUGCUCAUA